CUCUUUUCUCGAUGUAUAAUUGGAAGGAGUGUUUCUUUUUUAUCUUGACUGAGUAACCCUGAGACUUCAACACAUCGUGGUGUCGACGUCAUAGGUCGAUGGUUAGAGCUCCAACUUUGUCAGAUGUCGAGAAGGAGGUAUUGGAGCAGAUCUUGGGUCAUACUCUCCCUCUAUUGACCAAGCUCCUUACUGAGGAAAAUUUAUCCAAGGUUGGGUUG
rnacentral:lncRNA from 1 species